CGCCACACCAAAUCUUUGGCAAGGCUUAGGCAAGAACCUUUGGCAUUACAUUUUUGGCGGGCCAGCCAGGAGGAUCUCCAGGAAAGGCAUCUAGAUCGUCACGUGGCGAGUACGAUGGGACCUCUUUGGCUUGCUAUUCUAUCCUGUCCUUCCUUAGAAUUCAGAGGCUAAACCGGGCACCUGUCAGCCACUUAAAGGAUCGAGGCCAUCAAUCUACAGAUGAUCUUACACAUGGAACCUCAAAUGAGCUCAACUCAUGCUUCUACCAAGGACCCCUGGAUCCACCCGCUGGUCCCUCACUAGCCUAAAAACUUCUCCUCUGGAAGACACCACAACUACAGGUCCCCUUCUUUGCCCCUAACCAGCAGGAAGUAGCCAGAAUGACCGCCGCCCUGUUCCCAACAGCGGUUGGUGUGUCCUGUCUAGAGGGGGGACUGAGUUGGUUCCAGCUGGGCUUUCUGGGUUAAGUAGGGGCUCAGAAAGCUGCGAAACUCACUCAUUUCCUACAUCAUGGCUUACUUUGGUCCUGGAUGAAUAAUAUUGACGAUAUAUGCUUAAAAUAUUCCUAACAUCAGAAUUUGUGCAUGUGUUUUCUUCCCCCAAGAAAGCUAUAAAAAGCGAAACUUUUGCUGUAAGCUUACCUGUGUCCAUGCUCCCUCUCUCCCUUCCUCAUCCCCUGAAACUGAAAGGAAUUUUAACAGCCAGUUUUUCUGUGACCAGCAGAACUUGUCUAUGCUCCCAAUUCCAAUUCCUUGUAAACACAAUUUGUAAAAUCCUGUGAGAUUCUGUCUCCUUUGCCAUGCCACUGCAAGGUUAUAAAGUAGAUAAAACUUAAGUUACAAUUCUGGUUUUCCUCAAGACCUAAGACUUGUUAAUUGUCUUUGUUUAUCUCUCUGGAAACAUCUUCCCACCACAUGUAUUUUCUGCCUUAAAAGAAUUUAAAAGGUGAUCAAAAAAUCUAACACUGGCUACCCGCUCGGGACCCCUUCCAUGCUGUGGAAGCUUUGUACUGUCACUCUGCUCAAUAAAGCCUGCAGCUUUUUUUUCUCUCAGUUGAUCCAUGUCUCUCUCUCACCGAAGGCUGCCUCCACACCAAAUCUUUGGUGUGGCUAAGGCAAGAACCUUCGGCAUUAGACAAAUAUCAG
rnacentral:lncRNA from 10 species